GGGGAAUAUUGCACAAUGGGCGAAAGCCUGAUGCAGCGACGCCGCGUGAGCGAAGAAGUAUUUCGGUAUGUAAAGCUCUAUCAGCAGGGAAGAUAAUGACGGUACCUGACUAAGAAGCACCGGCUAAAUACGUGCCAGCAGCCGCGGUAAUACGUAUGGUGCAAGCGUUAUCCGGAUUUACUGGGUGUAAAGGGAGCGUAGGUGGCAGAGUAAGUCUGAUGUGAAAGCCCGGGGCUCAACCCCGGGAUUGCAUUGGAAACUGCUCAGCUAGAGUAUCGGAGGGGUAAGUGGAAUUCCUAGUGUAGCGGUGAAAUGCGUAGAUAUUAGGAGGAACACCAGUGGCGAAGGCGACUUACUGGACGAUAACUGACACUGAGGCUCGAAAGCGUGGGGAGCAAAC
rnacentral:rRNA from 1 species